rnacentral:rRNA from 1 species
UAACUGAACCUUMGAGGGAACGUUAACGGCGUCGAGCGGCGGACGGGUGAGUAAUGCCUGGGAAAUUGCCCUGAUGUGGGGGAUAACCAUUGGAAACGAUGGCUAAUACCGCAUAAUAGCUUCGGCUCAAAGAGGGGGACCUUCGGGCCUCUCGCGUCAGGAUAUGCCCAGGUGGGAUUAGCUAGUUGGUGAGGUAAGGGCUCACCAAGGCGACGAUCCCUAGCUGGUCUGAGAGGAUGAUCAGCCACACUGGAACUGAGACACGGUCCAGACUCCUACGGGAGGCAGCAGUGGGGAAUAUUGCACAAUGGGCGCAAGCCUGAUGCAGCCAUGCCGCGUGUAUGAAGAAGGCCUUCGGGUUGUAAAGUACUUUCAGCAGUGAGGAAGGUGAUGUAGUUAAUAACUGCAUCAUUUGACGUUAGCUGCAGAAGAAGCACCGGCUAACUCCGUGCCAGCAGCCGCGGUAAUACGGAGGGUGCGAGCGUUAAUCGGAAUUACUGGGCGUAAAGCGCAUGCAGGUGGAUGAUUAAGUCAGAUGUGAAAGCCCGGGGCUCAACCUCGGAAUUGCAUUUGAAACUGGUCAUCUAGAGUACUGUAGAGGGGGGUAGAAUUUCAGGUGUAGCGGUGAAAUGCGUAGAGAUCUGAAGGAAUACCGGUGGCGAAGGCGGCCCCCUGGACAGAUACUGACACUCAGAUGCGAAAGCGUGGGGAGCAAACAGGAUUAGAUACCCUGGUAGUCCACGCCGUAAACGAUGUCUACUUGGAGGUUGUGGCCUUGAGCCGUGGCUUUCGGAGCUAACGCGUUAAGUAGACCGCCUGGGGAGUACGGUCGCAAGAUUAAAACUCAAAUGAAUUGACGGGGGCCCGCACAAGCGGUGGAGCAUGUGGUUUAAUUCGAUGCAACGCGAAGAACCUUACCUACUCUUGACAUCCAGAGAAYUUUCCAGAGAUGGAUURGUGCCUUCGGGAACUCUGAGACAGGUGCUGCAUGGCUGUCGUCAGCUCGUGUUGUGAAAUGUUGGGUUAAGUCCCGCAACGAGCGCAACCCUUAUCCUUGUUUGCCAGCGAGUAAUGUCGGGAACUCCAGGGAGACUGCCGGUGAUAAACCGGAGGAAGGUGGGGACGACGUCAAGUCAUCAUGGCCCUUACGAGUAGGGCUACACACGUGCUACAAUGGCGCAUACAGAGGGCAGCAAGCUAGCGAUAGUGAGCGAAUCCCAAAAAGUGCGUCGUAGUCCGGAUUGGAGUCUGCAACUCGACUCCAUGAAGUCGGAAUCGCUAGUAAUCGUGGAUCAGAAUGCCACGGUGAAUACGUUCCCGGGCCUUGUACACACCGCCCGUCACACCAUGGGAGUGGGCUGCAAAAGAAGU